GCCAUUUCUUAACAUGAGAAUUCCAAACAUCGCUAACGGGCUCUGGGGCAACCACACUUCGGUCUGGUUCAGCUGCCUUUGUUUUUUUUUUGUUGUUUUUUUUUUUUGUUUUUCCUUUUAGGCAACGCCCCCCCCCCCCUCCCCCAUAGCUUUCUCUAGGGUUCCUGCAACAGUAAGUGGUUUCUGAGGUUCUUUUCCGCGCUGGGCGGGAGAACCGUGCAGCUCGGUCCUCAGAGCCUGGGGCGGGGGGAGGAGGGGCUUGCCGACGGUAAAUAUUGACCUCAGCAAAUCACCACCGCCCGCCAAAGACUGCCACUAGGGUGCGCUAGCAAACAACACAAAAGGCACCCUUUGGUGGAUUCCUUUCUCAACCGCUUGUCUGGAAUUCAGAGCUCCGUGUGUGCGCUCCCAUUGAGGGUUUCGAAAUGCUCCGAAGUUGUUAGGCUGUCCCAAAGGAAGUCGGCUAUAAAAAUAAGCCAGCAUUUAAUCCUGCAUGAUGACCAACGUUCCGAUUAUAUUUCUAGAAGUGAUGCUGACUCAGAGCAACUAUCAACUCUUGCUGAUGCACCUUUUUGAAAUGGUCGGGCCUCGUUCCCUGUUGCUAAGCUUGUGACAAAUUUCAUGCCUUAAAGGCAUGCAUCUUUGGACCACAAUCUACAGAAGUUCUGGAAACCCAAAUUUAGGAAGGCCUGGUCCGCUCGCAGUCAGCAAUGUGAAUUAUAAGAGACACCCUGUCCGUGGAGACCUCAGAACAAAAGAAAUAAGGCUUUGUAAUCAACAGUAAACAAGGGAAUUAAACCAGCGCCAGGCCUGUGACUGUGGGGGUCAUGCCCUUGCGAGGCAAUAAAAAGGAAGAAAAAAAUAUAAAAACUGCUAUUUUUUACAAACUGGACUGCAGUCUUCAUCUGCCCUGCUGUAACAGCUAGAAGACCCCUAGUAGCCUGGAAUGAAUGUGGAGGCACCCAGGCACCUUUUGAAAAGACUUCAGUAUCCCCUCCAGAAUGUCCUGCUUUCCGGAUUCCCAGAUCCCUGUCAUCCUGGCGAGCACCAUACUCUGUGAGGAAACCAAGGUGCUGCCAGGAUCAUGUGUCAAAUAAAGGAUGGGAGGCCCAUGA